AGUGAAUAUAUCAAGUAUUUUAGCACAGAAAGGGAUAACCUCAGCAGCGGCAUAUUGUAUGAGCAAAGCUUCUUUAGAUCAUUUUACACAUUUACUUUCAGCAGAAACAGCGCCAUUUGGUAUCAGAGUCAACUGUGUAAGUCCUGGUGUCACAAGAUCUGAAUUUCAACUGCGUACGGGGGUAUCUGAAAAGGCAGUGGAUGAUCUAUAUGCUAGACAGAGAUCAGGGGUCCCCUUGGGAAGAAUAGGUGAACCAGAAGAUGUAGCCAAACUUGUUAAAUUUCUUCUUUCCGACGAGUCAUCAUAUAUAACAGGGGAGGUAAUUUGUGUAGAUGGCGGUCGAAAUAACCCCGUAUAUCCCUCUUGAAAAUAAUGUGAUUCAAAAUAA